rnacentral:rRNA from 1 species
UACGGAGGGGGCUAGCGUUGUUCGGAAUUACUGGGCGUAAAGCGCACGUAGGCGGCUUUGCAAGUCAGAGGUGAAAGCCCGGGGCUCAACCCCGGAAUUGCCUUUGAGACUGCAUCGCUAGAAUUGUGGAGAGGUAAGUGGAAUUCCGAGUGUAGAGGUGAAAUUCGUAGAUAUUCGGAAGAACACCAGUGGCGAAGGCGACUUACUGGACACAUAUUGACGCUGAGGUGCGAAAGCGUGGGGAGGCAA